rnacentral:rRNA from 1 species
GGAGUUUGGACCGUUCUCAGUUCCAAUGUGGGGGACCUUCCUCUCAGAACCCCUAAAGAUCGUCGCCAUGGUGAGCCGUUACCUCACCAUCUAGCUAAUCCUACGCAUGCCCAUCUUAUACCAGAUAACUCCUUUCUUUGUGAAAAGAUGCCUUCCCACAACAUUACGGGAUAUUACGCACCGUUUCCAGUGUCUAUCCCCCUGUACAAGGUAGGUUGCAUACGCGUUACUCACCCAUCCGCCGGUCGCCAUCACAAAAGUAUUGCUACUCUCGCACGCUGCCCCUCGACUUGCAUGUGUUAAGCCUACCGCUAGCGUUCAUC